AUCAACCAACAAACGCCGCUGAU
rnacentral:siRNA from 1 species